rnacentral:rRNA from 1 species
UACGUAGGUGGCAAGCGUUACUCGGAAUCACUAGGCGUAAAGCGCAGGUAGGAGGUUUGGUAAGUCUAUUGUGAAAGCUCCCGGCUUAACUGGGAGAGGUCAAUGGAAACUGCCAGGCUAGAGUGCGGUAGAGGUAGCUGGAAUUCCCGGUGUAGCGGUGAAAUGCGUAGAUAUCGGGAGGAAUACCUAUGGCGAAAGCAGGCUACUGGACCGUCACUGACUCUGAUCUGCGAAAGCUAGGGGAGCAAACAGG